UGGUGUUAUGCUGAUGACUUGAAACAAUUCAAAAAGGUGUUUGCCUCAAGCUUUCACUGGCAAAUUUAUUUGCAGAAACCAGCCAGGGCUGUAGAACUUGAUAGGAUUGUAAAGCAGUGCAGUCUUUUUUUGGAUCUCAAAGAAGCUUUUGCUUUACAGGAGCCAAGCUUCAGUGUGAUUUGUAUCCAUUUUCAAAACAAGGCUCUUUGACCUUUGGGUCAGAGGCUGGGAUGUCACGAACUAAUAAAGGGAAGCUGGGACUUCUUAAGAAAUGCCUCUUUGCAUAGACUUCUGGAGUGACUUUGGCAGAAACACAUGGAGCUUUUGAUGUGUAAAGAAGCAGGCUGGAAGAUGAAGAGAAAUUGCAGUUUUAAAGAGAUGCUGAGGGCACUGAUCUCCCAGGGAAAGCAAAGGACAGAAGGAGGGAUGAGGGGAGCAAAACCAAAAAGAAACAACGAAGAACUUAUUUGUUAAUUCAAACUUAGAAGAGGACUAUCACCAGGACUUCAAGUAAGGCUUCAAAGAAGGACUUUGCCAAGCAGUUGGGACUGAAGAGGAAAGGCUUCCUUUGGAGAACAAGGAAGUAUUAUUGACUACAGGUUUUUUUUGGAAGGAGCACUUUCUGACUUUAGAAUAGGGAAAUUCUUAUUCAAUGAAAUAAAAUGAAAUUCUGAUUCCAUAGCACAUUGGAAAUAGAAGUUCUCUAAGUGACAGAAUUAGGGGCAAGUUCUAGCUUUCUACCAAAUGGAUGAGCAACAUUCAACAGACCCCUUUAGCCUUUUUAGUCUUGGUUUUCCCAACUGUGUAAAGCACAGGAAGUAAAAUUGUGUCCUUUUUCUUUUCAGAGGGGCCCAAGCAUUAUGAAAUAAUAUGCAUGAAAACCAUCUGGGAUUUUUAAAGGGAUCAUCAAAUUUCUUUACAAGAGACUUAU